UCAAAGUGAUGAAAACAACCAUAACAUUCGCAGUUUCCUCGGUAGCUUACACUUAGAACCCUUUGAGUAAGCCAGUGACCGCCCUAGACCUUCCUAGGAUGUCUGAUUGA
rnacentral:snoRNA from 1 species